GCAUUGGUGGCCCAGUGGUAGAGGUCCCGCCUGCCAUGCCGGCGGCCCGGGUUCGUAUCCCGGCCAAUGCC
rnacentral:tRNA from 1 species